UACGUAGGGUGCGAGCGUUUGUCCGGAAUUAUUGGGCGUAAAGAGCUUGUAGGCGGUUUGUCGCGUCUGCUGUGAAAAUCCGGGGCUCAACCCCGGACUUGCAGUGGGUACGGGCAGACUAGAGUGUGGUAGGGGAGACUGGAAUUCCUGGUGUAGCGGUGAAAUGCGCAGAUAUCAGGAGGAACACCGAUGGCGAAGGCAGGUCUCUGGGCCACUACUGACGCUGAGAAGCGAAAGCAUGGGGAGCGAAACAGG
rnacentral:rRNA from 1 species